AUUGAACGCUGGCGGCAUGCCUUACACAUGCAAGUCGAGCGGCAGCGCGGGGGCAACCCUGGCGGCGAGCGGCGAACGGGUGAGUAAUGCAUCGGAACGUGUCCUCUUGUGGGGGAUAACCAGUCGAAAGACUGGCUAAUACCGCAUGAGAUCGAGAGAUGAAAGCAGGGGACCGCAAGGCCUUGCGCGAGAGGAGCGGCCGAUGCCGGAUUAGCUAGUUGGUGGGGUAACGGCCCACCAAGGCGACGAUCCGUAGCUGGUCUGAGAGGACGACCAGCCACACUGGGACUGAGACACGGCCCAGACUCCUACGGGAGGCAGCAGUGGGGAAUUUUGGACAAUGGGGGCAACCCUGAUCCAGCCAUGCCGCGUGUGUGAAGAAGGCCUUCGGGUUGUAAAGCACUUUCGGCCGGAACGAAAUCGCGCGGGUGAAUAUCCCGCGUGGAUGACGGUACCGGAAGAAGAAGCACCGGCUAACUACGUGC
rnacentral:rRNA from 1 species